UGCUGGGGGAUUUUUUGUUUUUGUUUUUUACCCAAAUGCUGGGUUCAGCCUGCUGGGUAAUUUUAUUGGGUUAUAUUUAAUAUUUUUACCAAGGUGCUGGGGUAGUUUUUCUGUAUCUCAGCUGCUGAGUCAUUUUUAAUGUACCCCCUCACAUACCUACCCGUUGGGUAAAUGUAACCCAAUGUUGGGUUGUCUGUGCCAAACCAGUUAAAACUGGAACUUAACGAUCGUUUUGUUUUCUGUUCUGAAAGAAAACUUCCUGAGGGGAAAUUCCUGAAUGAAAUUAAGUCAGCUUGGAACGCUAGCCUUCUACAAACGCAGCAUACACCGGAUCUAUUUUCGCCUGCGCCACCAUGAAAGUUUCACGGCCGUCAAACGAAUGCUCGACCAGGGCUGAAACACGACGUGACAUCGCUGUCAUGUAUAACUAAAUUGCCGUGAGCUCCACUGACUGUAAUAGUAAGCUAGCGUUGCAGCUGCGGUCGCGCUAUGCGUUUGACAAGAUUGGCUGCUGCUUCUGCUCCUGUCACUUCCUAAAACAUUUACAUUUACUAAAUGUUUUGGAGUAUUUUAUGAUUGUAAAAGACUGACUUGCCAUUGAAUAAAAAUAUUGUAUAUGAA